UCCAGACUCCUACGGGAGGCAGCAGUGGGGAAUAUUGCACAAUGGGGGAAACCCUGAUGCAGCAACGCCGCGUGAGUGAAGAAGUAUUUCGGUAUGUAAAGCUCUAUCAGCAGGGAAGAAGAAAGACGGUACCUGACUAAGAAGCCCCGGCUAACUACGUGCCAGCAGCCGCGGUAAUACGUAGGGGGCAAGCGUUAUCCGGAUUUACUGGGUGUAAAGGGAGCGUAGACGGCAGGGCAAGUCUGGAGUGAAAGCCCGGGGCCCAACCCCGGGACUGCUUUGGAAACUGCCAUGCUAGAGUGCUGGAGGGGUAAGCGGAAUUCCUAGUGUAGCGGUGAAAUGCGUAGAUAUUAGGAGGAACACCAGUGGCGAAGGCGGCCUGCUGGACUGUAACUGACGUUGAGGCUCGAAAGCGUGGGGAGCAAACAGGAUUAGAUACCCCGGUAA
rnacentral:rRNA from 1 species